UGGGGUGCUGUAACAAUUUUG
rnacentral:piRNA from 1 species